rnacentral:lncRNA from 1 species
AAAGGUCUUUUUGGCCAAGGGAAAUGCAAGUUUGUUCAUGUUAACUCAAAGGUGGUACAUGUGUUUAUUUCCAUGCCGCAUUACUCAAUUUUCAAGCUAUCUUCAAGGUUACUCAAGGGCCAAAACCUUGUCAUGACCCCUAAUUUCCACCCUUUCCAUUUUCAAGCUAUCUGCAAAGGACCAAGUUGCCAAAAUGGGCCAAAACCUUGCCAU